rnacentral:lncRNA from 1 species
UCGACUCUUCUCCUUCCUACGUGACUCCGAUGUGCCAUUGGACAAGAACCCAAAGCUCAAGCGCCACGCCAUGUCCGUCUUCGUCAUGGUACCUCUCAUCUUUCUUCCUUUAUGUACGCAUACAUUGUCAUGCAUCUGCAGAAAGCCGUUGCUCAAACUUUCGUAUUCUCCUCAGACAUGCGAAUCCGCGGUGCAACUGCGGAAAGCCGGGAAGGUCACGGUGAAGGAGACGACUCUUAAGAGGCUCGGUGCAAGCCAUUUCAAAUACGGUGUAGUAAAUGAACACUUUGAGGUAAUAGAUUCUGCUAGCAGUUUUUGUGAUCUCAGAUCAUUUGCUCAUAAAUUCAAUGACAUACAUUAAAGUUCAGCAAACAACAAGUCAAACAAGGUUCAGUGCAAACCGAUGACUGCAACUUUUGUUUAAUGCAUGGUGCAGGUUACGAGGUUUGCUUUGUUGGACACAAUAAAGGAGGCGGUGCCGGACAUGUGGUGCCCUGAGAUGAAGGCGGCAUGGGGAGAGGCUUAUAACAAGCUUGUUGCAGCUAUCAAGGAAGAAAUGAAGCCCAUUCCUUCCCCAUAGAAUUUAAUUCUCUCUCCUUGUUCUGUGGGCAAACCGGAAAUAAGAGGGCGUCAUGUGUGCUCGUACGUGUAGUUUAGUUUACCUUACAGUAUGUUCUGUGCCCAAUCUUUCUCCCAGUCAUCGGAUUGCGUCUGUAAACCAACGUACUUUUCUAGUAUACAUCUCAUUUCGAAUCAUAAAUUAUAGGACAGUUCUUUUUAUCCUCAUAAUGCCGCUAAAUUAAUUGAGGAAUACAUUACGAUGAGGGAGAGAGAUUCUCAAAUAUUAGAUUUUCAGGAAUGUUUUCAUCAUGAUUUUUUUUAUCAUAUAUCGUAAAAUUAAAUAUAAUUAAAAUAUUUUAAUUGUACGUAAGAAACUGAUCAGAAUAUGCACCGAUCUAAAGGAGGCAGAGGAGACAACUGCCUAUAUCAAUCUCAAUUACUUCAACUUCGGCCGAGGAAGAUCGCACUGUCGAGAAUUGGAUAAUAGAUCAGCCGGUAGAGAGGCGACCACAGUGGGUCCGCUGGCAGAGUAGCAGCGGCGAGGGUCCGCCGGCAAAAUAGCAACGGCGAUGGGCCGCUGGCUUGCGAGGAAGUUGACAGGCAGAUGGCAAACGGAGGGGCGACCACAGUUGGCGACCCCCGAGGACGAGGAGGCUGAGAGGAGGUGGCGGGUGCUCAGCCUGCUUCUGUGCAACAGCCGAGAGGAGGCGGCGGGCCUCCGGCUGUCUGAAAGCUGGAGGGCAGGAACUCCGCCGGAGCUCCGCUGGAGGAAGCGGAGGAAGGGACGCUGAGGGCAGCGUAGCAGUUCGGAGAGGACGCUGUUGUUGCCGCCAACGGCAGUGAGAGAUGAUUUUAUUCCGCUCGGAGCAGUGAUCGGCAAGGUGCGGCGGUUGGUGAGGAAGAAGAGGGAGAGCCUCGCCGGAGUUCCACGGACACUGCGCCUUGAUGCUAAACAACCGAGGUCAACACCGCUCGCCGAAGAGGAACUCGCAGCGGCAGAUCUAAGUCCCGGAUCGCCGGCCAACAGGGAAGGGGGGACUUUGCCGGUGAAGAGGAACUGCUUCGCCGACAUAGAGCACCUUCGCCAGUGAGGAAGAACGGGCGGGCACUUCGCCGAGACGAGGUUGCUCGGAGAAAACCGACAACGGCAGAUUAGCAGAGAUGAGGGACUGCCUUCGUCGGACGGCGACGAAGGGAAGCGGUUCUGAGAGCACUAUGUGAGAAGAAGGGGAGCGCUGUGUUGAUGGCUGCAGGAGGGAGCGGCGGUCGACGAGGCAGAGGUGCCAAGGCCUAAAGCGAAAAAAUGGGAGGAGCAGGUGCGGUGGGCGCCGAGGGCGAGGCGGCCAACGCGGCGCUCGGUGCAGAGAUGAGCGCUUGGGGCAGAGAGCAGUAUUCGAUGGAGUUGCAGCGUCGGAGAAGACGCCGACGUAGUAGGGAGGAGAAGGAGGCUGUUGAUAAGGGUAAAAAUGGCAACAUGACACGCCCUGAUGUCAGCCAUGCCUGGACAACACACUGCCCUAGGAAAUGGGCAUUAACGCCGACUUGAUAUGCGCCAGCGUCACCCGCUCCCAGUCAACGACUCCACCGUCUGACCCCGCGCGCUCAGUCGAGGCAGAGGAGGACGUCGACCGAGGCUCGCCCAUACCCUGCGGCAGUCGGUUCUCCAUGCAACCCCAGUGGCAAUGUCAGACGCCAUCGGAGGUACGGUCCUGCUCCUGCAGGCAGCCACAUCAGGUAACAUCAAACUCAUCUAUAAAUACCCCAGAGUUCUAGACGAACGAGGGAGAGGAGAAAACACAGACACAACACUUAUAUGGAGGUAUUUUCCUCCUCCUAAACCCCCUCCACAUCACUGACUUGAUCGUCGGAGGGGUCGGGCCGAGCUCCCGGCCCGACCUGUGUGCAGGUGCAAGACGGGGUCGACUCUUCCCGGCGCUGCGGCGACGCACUCCCCCCGACGCGACGUCCCGACCGGACCAUUGAGACAGGCCACCGGGAGACCUCGAAGGACACCGCUCGAGAUCCCCGACAUCCGGACCCCCGAACCGAGCCGCGACGGCCCCGAGGCCACGGCUUAAACAAAUGCCCCCCGCAUCAUUUUGGCGCUAGAAGGAGGGCCCGAAUGUUGAGGGAUCCUUAGACUGAUCCCGACGAACUCCCUGCCGAGGGAUCGUUCUAUGCAGGGGCGUAGGCCGUGCGUCCAUUGCGUGACGGGCCGCAGGCUGACGACCUCUCCGCGACUUCGGAACGCUACUGGCGUUCAUUCGACAACCCGGAUCUGCUUCCGCCUGAGGGCGCUCCAAGCGUCCCCUCGCCGGUGUCAUCCGAGGCCUUUCACGACCUCGCUCGUCAAGUCCGAGCUCUGACAGAUAUGUUGCAAACCAUCAUCCCGCUCGUCUCCCAACCGACACCCACGCUUAUGACUCAGCCGCUACGGCAAUAAGAGCCGCCCGCCUGGGCCCACAUGACGCUUCCUAAGCCUCCCACUUCGCCUCGGGUCCGACCGACCCCACUCGGGGAUCCAGUGAUGGCAGACCCAAGCGGCCCCCCGGAGCCCGAAGUAUUAUCUCCGGAGUCAACGGACUCCCUGCGAGCCCAGCUAUGCUUUCUUAGUCAGUAGCUCGACGAAUUAGAGAAGGAGUUUUGCAACUCAAAGGGAGAGCUCGGGAUGGACACAUAUCGAGGAUCCCCGUUCGCACCAGAGAUACGAGAUCACGCGGUUCCCCCAAACUUUCAGCUCCCUUCUUUGGACGCAUAUGACAGCUCCACUGACCCAGCGGACCAUGUCGUCGCUUUCCGUGCCCAAUUGGCACUGUACGGAACGUCUGACGCUUUAAUGUGCAAGGCGUUUCCCGCGACCCUGAGGGGUCCGGCCCGCACAUGGUACAGCGGCCUGAAGACCGGAACGAUCACUUCCUACGGCCAACUCGCUAAGGACUUCGAGCUCCACUUCGUAGCCCAUGCCCGGCCAAAGCCCUCCGCGGCACUGCUCCUCGGACUCAAACAAAGAGAGGACGAGCCCCUCUCACAUUUCGUGGAUCGCUUUGCCACGCGAAUCCGGAGCUUACCGGACACUCACCCCUCUUUGUUAGUGUAGGUGUUUAUGGUAGGCUUGUGACCUUCCAGAUUCUGCUGGUCCCUCGUAGAGCGACCCCUCACCAUAGUACCAGAUAUGCUCCAGCGAGCUAACCGGUACAUCGCGGCGGAAACUUGGGUGACCGCAAGGAAGAGGAGUGACUCUGGGCGGCGGGCCCCGUAGCAACGGUCAAGCACCCGCGGUUGCUAUCCGGUGUAAUCUUCGUGCAAGGAAUCUAGCCCUUGCUUCAGUCUCUUCCAAGAGAAGGCUCCAUGUUUACCUGACUGCCUCUUGGCUCACGGUUAGCUUCGGCCUAACCCCCCUCUUUUUUGCAUUCGCACGGCUCGGUCGUAGACUGCCCGAGUCCACCUCGGCGCGGCCUGCCUGCCUGUGUUGUGCUACUCGGCCGCAUGGUGCCCGAGACCACGCCUGCGCGUCCUGCCCGCCUGCGUCGUGCUACUCGGCCGCAUGACCCUCGCGACCACGCCUGCGCAGUUUGCUCGCCUGCGUCGUGCUCCUCGACAGCAUUAUGCCCGAAACAACACCUACGCGGCCUGCCCGCCUGCGUCGUGCUCCUCGGUCCCAUCAUCCCCGAGACACACCUGCGCGACCAGCCCGCCUGCGUCGUGCUCCUUGGCUCCAUGUUCCCGAGACACACCAGCGCGGCCAGCCCGCCCGCGUCGUGCCCAUCGGCUCCAUACUCUCCGAGACACGCCUACACGGCCAGCCUGCUUGCGCCGAGCUCCUUGUCCAUGCACUGCCGAGUCAAUCUUAGGGCGACUUGCCCACUUGGGUCACGUCCCUCGACCGCAGCCUGCCUACGUCGAGCUUCUCGGUCAUACGCUGCCGAGUUCACCUCAGCGCGGCCUGCCCGCCUGAGCGGUGUCCCUCGGCCACACCGCUGAGUUCACCUCAGCGCGGCCUGCCCGCCUGAAUCGAGUUCCCCGGCUUUUGUCAUAUCCCUCGACCAUAGACGGCUGAGCCCACCUCGGCGCGGCCUGCCCGCCUGUGUCGUGCUACUCGGCCGCAUGGUGCCCGAGACCACGCCUGCGCGUCCUGCCUGCCUACGUCUUGCUACUCGGCCGCAUUGCCCUCGCGACCACGCCUGCGCGGUCUGCUCGCCUGCGUCGUGCUCCUCGACAGCAUGAUGCCCGAGACCACACCUGCGCGGCCAGCCCGCCUGCGUCGUGCUCCUUGGCUCCAUGUUCCCGAGACACACCAGCGCAGCCAGCCCGCCUGCGUCGUGCCCCUCGGCUCCAUACUCUCCGAGACACGCCUGCGCGGCCAGCCUGCUUGCGCUGAGCUCCUCGGCCAUGCACUGCCGAGUCCAAUCUCAGGGCGGCUUGCCCACCUGGGUUACGUCCCUCGGUCGUAGCCUGCCUGCGCCGAGCUUCUCGGGCAUAUGCUGCCGAGUUCGCCUCAGUGCGGCCUGCCCGCCUGAGCGGUGUCCCUCGGCUACACCGCCGAGUUCACCUCAGCGUGGCCUGCCCGCCUGAAUCGAGUCCCCCGGCUUUUGCCAUAUCCCUCGGUCAUAGACGGCCGCGCGGCCUGCCCGCCUGCGUCGUGCUCCUCGGUCCCAUCAUCCCCGAGACACCUGCACGGCCCGCCCGCCUGCGUCGUGCUCCUCGUUCCAUUCUUCCCGGGACACAACUGCGCGNNNNNNNNNNNNNNNNNNNNNNNNNNNNNNNNNNNNNNNNNNNNNNNNNNNNNNNNNNNNNNNNNNNNNNNNNNNNNNNNNNNNNNNNNNNNNNNNNNNNNNNNNNNNNNNNNNNNNNNNNNNNNNNNNNNNNNNNNNNNNNNNNNNNNNNNNNNNNNNNNNNNNNNNNNNNNNNNNNNNNNNNNNNNNNNNNNNNNNNNNNNNNNNNNNNNNNNNNNCUCCCGAGACACACCUGCGCGGCCUGCCCGCCUGCGUCGUGCUCCUCGGCCCUUCGGCUCUGUGCCCUCCCGAGACACACUUGCGUGGCCAGCCCGCCUGCUUCGUGCUCCUCGGCCCUUCGACUCUAUUCCCUCCUGAGACACACCUGCGCGGCCAGCCCGCCUACGUCGUGCUCCUCGGCCCCUCAGCUCCUCGGCUCCAUGUUCCCUGAGACCGCGUCCGCGUGGCCCGCCUGCCUGAAGACAGAAGCCAUGCAUCGGUCUCCCCUUGUACAACAACCGGCGCAUAGCUCCUUUCGGGGGGGGCGGGAAUAUGAUAAGGGUAAAAAUGGUAACAUGACACCCCCUGACGUCAGCCAUGCUUGGACAACACACUGCCCGAGGAAAUGGGCAUUAACGCCGACUUGAUAUGCGCCAGCGUCACCCGCUCCCAGUAAACGACUCCACCGUCUGACCCCGCGCGCUCAGCCGAGACAGAGGAGGACGUCGACCGAGGCUCACCCAUACCCUGCGGCAGCCGGUUCUCCACGCAACCCCAGUGGCAAUGUCAGACGCCAUCAGAGGUACGGUCCUGCUCCUGCAGGCAGCCACAUCAGUUAACAUCAAAUUCAUCUAUAAAUACCCCAGAGUUCUAGACGAACGAGGGAGAGGAGAAAACACAGACACAACACUUAUAUGGAGGCAUUUUCCUCCUCCUAAACCCCCUCCACAUCACUAACUUGAUCGUCGGAGGGGUCGGGCCAAGCUCCCGGCCCGACCUGUGUGCAGGUGCAAGACGGGGUCGACUCUUCCCAGCGCUGCGACGACGCACUCCCCCCGACGCGACGUCCCGAUCGGACCGUCGAGACAGGCCACUGGGAGACCUCGAAGGACACCGCCCGAGAUCCCCGACAUCCGGACCCCCGAACCGAGCCGCGACGGCCUCGAGUACACGGCUUAAACAGAUGCCCCCCGCAUCAGCUGUCGAUUGCGACAAGACAGAUCAAGGGGAGAAGAGGUGGACGCUCGGCUUGUAUGAAGUCCGUUGGUGGCCACGAAGAGAGGCGAGGAAGGGAAGAGGAGGAGAUAACCGAUAGCUUGGCGAGGAUGACGGCGCCGCCAAUUGCGAUGGAUACUAUGUCGAAUUGGGAAAUAUGUCGAGGAGACGAGUAUUUGAUUUUAUUUAUUUAUUUUAUGUAUUCAAAUCACGUAAUUAAAUUAAUUAAUUAAAUUUAUGAUUAAUUUUUAAAUAUUAAAUUUUCGUAUAUGUUUGUAUCAUUAUCUUCUAUCAAAAUUCCUUCUCUCUCUCUCUCUCAAUUAUAAACUAAGACAAUACUACGGAAUUAGAUGAGCCGAACAUGUGGUGAAGGCGGCAUGGGGAGAGGCUUAUGACCGACCAGCUAUCAAGAAAGAAAUGAAGCCCAUUCCUUCACUUCCCCAUAGAAUUUAAUUCUCUCUUCUUAUUCUGUGGUUAACCGGAAACAAGAGGGUGUCAUGUGUGCUCGUAUGUGUAGUUUACCUUACAUUAUGUUCUGUA